rnacentral:rRNA from 1 species
UACGUAGGUGGCAAGCGUUGUCCGGAUUUACUGGGCGUAAAGAGCGCGCAGGCGGUCGUCCAAGUCGCGUGUGAAAGCCCCCGGCUCAACUGGGGAGGGUCACGCGAUACUGGUCGACUCGAAGGCAGGAGAGGGUAGUGGAAUUCCCGGUGUAGUGGUGAAAUGCGUAGAUAUCCGGAGGAACACCGACGGCGUAGGCAGCGCCCUGGACGACACCUGACGCUGAGGCACGAAAGCUGGGGGAGCGAACAGG